UUUUUUUUUUUUUAAAUCUGCGGUUACUGAAUAGUUUUCCUCUUACUCGUGUACUCGUUCAACCGCUGGCUACCUCAUGCCUCGUUGAUUCACACACACACACACACACACACACACAGCUGAUCUGAUUUUUAUUCUCAAGUUAUGGAUUUAGAUUUGUGUGUAUUUGGACCCCAAAUUAGUACAAUUUUGCAUUAAAUUUUAUCCAUAUUCCAUACAUGGAUAUAUGCAACAUUCGAAGCUCCCAAAAUUGGGGUUAUUCUUGAUGUGCUGUAUUCGAUUUGGAUGAACUUGAAAUGGGCUAGAUGUAGUUGGAAGUUAUAUUUGAUUUUAUUUUUAUUUAAAUUUUCAUAUUCUAAUUUUUCCUAUUCUUCUGGAAUAUAUAUAUAUUUAUUAUAUUUUUUUUGUAUAAAAAUUCAAUUCCUAUAAAGCUAAGGCUACGCUCUGCUCAUUAGAGGUAAAACGCCUAGCAUUAGCUUUUUCAAACACUGCUAACAAUAAUAAUAUUUUGAAAGUAACUAUUCAAUUGCUUGCAUAUAGUUGUCAAAUUAGUGCCAACAGUACUCUUUUUCAUCAAAUGGCAAUAUUUUACAAAUCUAAAAUGUCUUUGUUUGGUAAGAAAAUCAAAUAAUAUAGAUGCAUGCCUCAACCUGCUGGUGAAAGCAACAGGGACAUAUUGUUGAUGCCAGGGAGACAAAAAACAGAGAAUUGGACUGGGUUUGGGGCAUUUAUUAUUUAAACAACUUGGCAUUUGCACAGGCAACAAAUUUAAAACUAAGAUUAACUUGUUAUAGAAUCACAAUUGACUCUGAUUGCAUUUUUUUUUCAUGAGAGAGAGAGAGAGAGAGAGAUGUCGCAUUGGGUUGGAGCUUGCGCAAAAGCCACCAAUGAUUUCUGAAUGGGGAAUGCGAAAUGGGGAUUAUCUUUGAAUUAUAGAAAAAUCAUCAAAAAAUUGAAUUUUUGUUUGUUAAUGGUCCUUGUUUUUCAAUUUCGCUCUCCUCUUCUUUAAAAUUUUUUCCCUGGCUUUUUAGGCAUUACAGAUUAAUCCCAUGUUUUCUAUCAAUGUAGUCAAUAAGUGGCAGCAUGGCGCUCCUGGCACACAGCUAGGCACCAGGCACCCAACCAUGUGGAGGGGCCACUAACCUGAAUAAUUUCUCCUGAGAUUGCUAUUUGAGAAAAUAGGGCAAUAUAUUUUGCACAGCAAAGAUUUUUUAGGCAUGAGAAUAUGUAGUGGAUGGCGUCAACUCCUCUUGUUGCUGGCUCUCAUUUUCUUUCUUUCCCAUUUAUUCUCUGGAGUUUUAGAAUUGCAGCAAAGCUCAACCGUGGAAGACAUCCAUAAAAAGCACAGCAAGAAAUUUGACCAUCUGGUUCUUGGGCCAGCUGCUGGUCAGGGUUUGCACGAUCGAUUGCAGUGCCAAGGAGUCAAAGCUCUUAAUAAGACCCAUUUUUCGACCUCCUCCCGCAUCUCUUAUUCUGCAGAAAGCAUUUCUUUUGUCACUGUCUUUGCUGUUUAUAACAGCUCUCUCAACAUGCAUGUGGAUGGUAGAUCAUCAACUUUGGUUGCUGUGGGGAAUGCUACUUAUAAUAAGGUUGAGAGGUCAAUGGCUGUUUUGAAUGUCUUCAUUAACUACAUCCAGGUGACAAUGCCCCAGAGCACUGUAAUCAUUCUAACUGAUCCAGCAUCUGAGGUUUCAGUGCACAGAAAUAGGGUUAGUUUAUAUCCCAUUAAAGGUGAAUAUUCACGGGACAAGUUGAUGCUUCAAAGAAUGAAGUCUUACAUUGCCUUUCUGGAAGCAAGACUUGAGGAGCUUUCUAAGGGUUGGGGGCAUGCUAAUCAUUACAUCUUCACAGACUCAGACAUAGCUGUGGUUGACGAUCUAGGACAGAUUUUUCAUGAUUACCCCAAUUUUCAUGUAGCUCUUACCUUCAGGAAUAACAAAGACCAACCCUUGAAUUCAGGAUUUAUAGCUGUAAGGGGCACUGCUGAUGGUAUUCUAAGGGCAAAGAUUUUCCUACGGAAAGUGUUGAAAGUUUACAGCUCCAAAUACAUGAAUGCCUCCCGAAUGCUAGGCGAUCAGUUAGCUCUUGCCUGGAUUGUAAAAUCUCAUCCUUCCUUUGAUGCAAGAAGGUUUGUUAGACCACGGGCUUUUGUUGAAGAAAUUGAUGGUGCUUCUGUCCUAUUUUUACCCUGUGCUAUUUACAAUUGGACACCACCUGAGGGUGCAGGUCAAUUUCAUGGCAUGCCUCUUGAUGUUAAGGUUGUUCAUUUCAAGGGGUCGAGAAAACGCUUAAUGCUCGAGUCUUGGAACUUUUUCAGUUCUUCAUUUGACAUUUCAGAUACUUUGUGCCUUAUCUUGAAGAGCGGGAGAAUGAAGUAUGAUUUUUGAAUGACUACAUUUUGUUUUGGCUGAGCACUUUGAUCAUCUUCUAAUUGUGUAGGAACAGCCAAUUUCAUUUGGCAAGGAAUUGCCACAUUUCUCCGUCAUUCCGUUAUAUUGGACUAUGGAUUUUCUGUCUUUGGCACCGGGCGCAUCCAAAUUCAUAAGAGCACUCAGAUAUAGUUUACCAUGGGAGGUGCUUUCAAGUCUUUUUCCACUCAUUUGAAGUUUUCGAAAGACUUCUUCUCCUAGUGGAUCAGGCAAGCUAUUAAGAUAGACUUGCUUGAGGUUGAUGUCAUCUGGUCCACAGAGAGUGUAAUAUUUUUCAGAGAUAAAAUUAUAAUGCUUCUCCACAUUUUUUCUUUUAAGUGUGCAACGGUUAAAGUCAGUGGCUCAUUUUAAGAUUCAUGUCACUAGAUUUAUUU